rnacentral:rRNA from 1 species
CGAAAGCCUGACGGAGCAAUACCGCGUGAGGGAGGAAGGCUUUUGGGUUGUAAACCUCUUUUUUCAAGGAAGAAGCAAGUGACGGUACUUGAAGAAUCAGCAUCGGCUAACUCCGUGCCAGCAGCCGCGGUAAUACGGAGGAUGCAAGCGUUAUCCGGAAUCAUUGGGCGUAAAGCGUCCGCAGGUGGCGUAUCAAGUCUGCUGUCAAAGACAGAAGCUCAACUUCUGGCAGGCAGUGGAAACUGGUAAGCUAGAGUACGGUAGGGGUUGAGGGAAUUCCCAGUGUAGCGGUGAAAUGCGUAGAUAUUGGGAAGAACACCAGUGGCGAAGGCGCUCAGCUGGGCCGUAACUGACACUGAGGGACGAAAGCUAGGGGAGCG